AUACGUAGGGGGCGAGCGUUGUCCGGAAUGAUUGGGCGUAAAGGGCGCGUAGGCGGCGCGGUAAGUCUGGAGUGAAAGUCCUGCUUUCAAGGUGGGAAUUGCUUUGGAUACUGCCGCGCUUGAGUGCAGGAGAGGUUAUCGGAAUUCCCGGUGUAGCGGUGAAAUGCGUAGAGAUCGGGAGGAACACCAGUGGCGAAGGCGGGUAACUGGACUGCAACUGACGCUGAGGCGCGAAAGUGUGGGGAGCAAACAGGAUUAGAUACCCUGGUAGUCCACACUGUAAACGAUGAAUGCUAGGUGUAAGGGGUAUCGACCCCUUUUGUGCCGGAGUCAACACAAUAAGCAUUCCGCCUGGGGAGUACGGCCGCAAGGUUGAAACUCAAAUGAAUUGACGGG
rnacentral:rRNA from 1 species